rnacentral:snRNA from 1 species
AGCUUUGCACAGUGGCAGUAUCGUAGCCAGUGAGGUUUCUCCGAGGCACAAUUCUUGCUACUUGAAAAAGAAAAAACUUGGACUCCCGGCCUGGGGGUUUCCUGGAAGGAGGGCUUC